UCUGAAGAAGGACGCCUCCCCCAUCUUGGCGUGUCCUCGGAUCCUGUGCAUGGUCCCUAACAACCAAUGCUCCGUGCCGCUGCAAAUAUCCAAGAUGACCUUCUUUGGGCAUGAAUGUGCCGGAUGCCCCUACUGCCCUACUGACCGUGUUUGAAACUGUUGUGGAGUGCAUGCUGAAGAAUGUUGUAUCUUAGUAGUCCAUCUUGAAAUAAAAGAUUGGUUGUCAA